GUUACAUCAUUAUUAUAACAAAAAAUAGCUGCCUGGCUGAUGAACUCAUUAAGUGUUGGUAGAGUGCUACAUGAGGGGCAGGUCUUUUGCUAAGACCACAAGGAUCUGUGGCCCAAAAAGUGGAGUUUCAUAGUAAUUCUUGCUGCAAUU